rnacentral:lncRNA from 1 species
UGUGAGAGUAAUUAGAAAAAUAAAAUGUUAUUUUGGUGUAUUUUUGUUUUAGAGUAUUAUAUGAAAGGAUUUUAUGCUUGAUAAUGUAAGUUUUCUCUUUGUAUUUUUCUCCAAAAAUAAAUAAAUUUAUAUCAGCCAAAAGAAGUACCUCUUUAAUUAAGUACAAACUCUUGCUCAUACCCCUGCAAGUUUUGCUAUAAGGAGUGAACAAGAAGGAAGG